UUGAGUGUCUGGAAGCUGAGUUGAAAUUUGAGCUAAAUUGGUUUCACUUUGUUCUUUAUCUGUUUGUUUCAACACCAACAUGCUGCAUGCAACACCCUGAUUAUUCAUGUGGUAAAUCGUACGAUGACAUGAAUUUCUUGUCAGCAAUACGUCAUAGAUUUGUAGCGGUUAUUUUUUUUAGCUUUAAUUACUUAUUUGUUGCUUAUAUUUUCAUCCUAGUAUCAUUUACUCCUUAUAAUAUUUUUGUAGUGC
rnacentral:lncRNA from 1 species